ensembl:lncRNA TCP10L3 t-complex 10 like 3 (pseudogene)
AAGACAGAAAGUCCGUUGGAACCGUCGGCUGCUCUCUGGUCUCUGGAGAUGAGGCGGGAGGACUUGGGGACAGCUGUGGGGACACGGCCCAGAUGCUCUGGUCCCAGCAGAAGUGACUGGCGGGGACCAGGAUGCUGGAGGGUCAGCUCGAGGCCGGGUAGCCCAAGGAGGGCACCCACCCAGAAGACCCGUGCCCGGGAGCUGGGGCUGCCAUGGAGAAGACACCUGCAGCAGCCGAGGUCCCCAGGGAGGACAGCAAUGCCGGGGAGAUGCCGUCAUUACAGCAGCAGAUCACCAGCCUCCACCAAGAGCUCGGGAGACAGCAGUCGCUGUGGGCUGAUAUUCACAGAAAACUCCAGAGUCAUAUGGAUGCCUUGAGGAAGCAGAACCGGGAGCUCCGAGAAGAGCUGAGAGGCCUGCAGCGGCAGCAGUGGGAAGCCGGGAAGAAACCCGCAGCGUCCCCACACGCGGGGCGAGAAUCACACACUCUGGCAUUGGAACCUGCUUUUGGAAAAAUUUCACAUCUGUCAGCUGAUGAAGACACAACGCCCAAAUACGCUGGCCGCAAGAGUCAGAGUGCCACUCUCCUGGGACAAAGAUGGUCAUCUAACCACUUAGCUCCUCCAAAGCCAAUGAGUUUAAAGACAGAAAGAAUUAACUCGGGGAAAACACCACCACAGGAAGAUAGAGAGAAAAGUCCUCCCGGGAGACGUCAAGACAGAAGUCCAGCACCCACUGGAAGGCCGACUCCCGGUGCAGAAAGACGGGGGGUGUCUGAAGACGGAAAGAUUAUGCAUCCAUCUUCCCGAAGUCCGCAAAACUCCGGUGGCAGAAAAUCACCAGUGCAGGCUUCCCAGGCCACCACGCUGCAGGAGCAGACGGCAGCAGCCAGAGGAGCUGACAGAAGCUCAUCAGUCUUAGGGAGUUCUGAAGGCGGAUUUCUCAGCCGCGUUCAAGCUGACGAGUUCGCCAGUUCUGCCCCAGACAGUGCAGAGCGGCAGAAAAAUUCUACCCCAAUGGCUCCAAAGAAAUCGUGUUUCCCGACGGGACGGUGGAACAUCUCAAGGAUGGACAGGAAGAGACCUUAUUUCCUGAUGGGACAAUCGUAAGGGUGGAAAGGAACGGCGACAAAACCAUUGUGCUCAGCAACGGGCAGAAAGAAAUCCACACAGCCCGGUUCAAGAGGAGGGAGUACCCGGAUGGCACCGUCAAGACUGUGUAUUGCAGCGGCUGUCAGGAAACCAAGUAUGCCUCCGGGAGGGUUAAGAUCAAAGAUGAAGCUGGAAAUGUCGUCCUGGACGAGAAGCAGAUGAGCCCUCAACACGCAGCAUCACAUGGGAAAUGCCAAUUGCAGAUUUUUGCUAAAACAGACAAAAACUAAUAACAUAUUAGCUGCCCUAAAUGAUCUUGGAGAGCCACCAAAACUUUAGGACUACCCAAGUCAUCUAGAAAUUGCAAAGGAAAAGACAUUCUCUCCCCUAUUUAGGAAACUUGGUUAGAGCAGCACACGUCGGAGAACAGGAGGCUCACAAAAGAACGAUUUUCAGUGCCCCCAGCAAGGCUGCACCCUCCUUGAUCAUCACAGGGGCCAUUUCUGCCUUGUGAUGGACCCAGGAGGUCUCUGCAGAGCAAGUGCCGUUGGACCAGCUGAUUCACAAAGUGCUGAGCCCCUCUUCCCCGUGUGGCCCACCCCAGGCACGGCUCAUUCCUCCAGAAUUAUAGAAGCUCAGCCUGGCCUGCUCCCCUCUGGUCACCGACACCCCUGUCCUCGCUGGGACAAGAGGGAGACAAUUCUAGUCACUACAAGGACACCCAAGGGGUGUCUGAGUCAGGGCUCCAAUAGUGCAGUUAUCGUGGCCUCUCGCAGCCCGGGGAGCACGUCGCCUCUUGAAACUCGAGAUUUCUUAAAUCCCAAUAUAAAAAUGAUAACCAGUUACUUACUUCUUUUGUUGUUUUGCAGGCCACCUAGAAAUACAAAAUGCCAAUUCACCUAAUUUUUAUACUGAAAUGUAGAUGCCCCCAACAUGAUUUUGGAAAGAUAUAAUUUCUUGAAAAUCUUAUCAGAAGAUGCAUAGUUAAUUUUUUUCCAUUAUGUACUCAUGUUUUUAUGAAAUACAAUACCAUAUUUUAGGGCCAGGGAUUAUUUUAACCUUAAAAUUGUGCAUGCAUCAUUGUAGCCCUCAAUAUUUGGUAAUGCUAUUUAAAGUGACUCAAGAAGCAUGUGCUAUCUGGCUUUGAAGGAAAAAAAAA